GAUGAGUCCCUCACUGAAUCCACAUUAUAUGAGAUGCCAUCAUCUCUACGGAGGCUCUUUGCAACGAUACUGGUUUUUUGUGAGCCAAGCGAUGUGCGCGAACUCUGGGAGAAGCACCUGGAUGCAAUGUCAGAAGACUAUCGUCAUAGCAAUCCAUCCAAAGUUGUAGUUGAGCAAUUGGUUCUAAUAGAUAUUAGGAAUAUGCUACAAUCAAUGGGCAAGGAGAUAGAGUCAUUCCCUCUUCCCGAUAUCCAGGAAGAAUAUGACACUUCCACCGGUGUGACAAGGGAGAUCUUCGAGGAAUCCACCAUAGAGCUCAAUGUUGAGGACACAUAUCUAUCAGAUUCACUUAAUUCAGAUCAGAGGGCCGCAUACGAUGAAAUUAUGUAUGCUAUUGAUCGUGAUGAGGGUGGUGUCUUCUUUGUGGAUGGGCCUGGAGGCACCGGAAAGACUUUUUUGUAA
rnacentral:rRNA from 1 species